CCUACGGGAGGCAGCAGUGGGGAAUAUUGCACAAUGGAGGGAACCCUGAUGCAGCGACGCCGCGUGGGUGAAGGAGCGUUUCGGCGCGUAAAGCCCUAUCGUCAGGGAAGAAGAUGACUGUGCCUGACCAAGAAGCCCCGUCUAACUACGUUCCAAGAGCCGCAGGAAUACGUAGGGGGCAAGCGGUGUCCGGAUUUGUUGGGUGUAAAAGGGGCUCGGGCGGCAAAGUAAGCCCAGAGUGACAGGCCGGGGUCCAAACCCGGGAAUGCUCUGGGAACUGCAUGGCUGGAGUACAGGAGGGGAAGGCGGAAUUCCAAGUGUAGCGGUGAAAUGCGUAGAUAGUAGGAGGAACACCGGUGGCGAAGGCGGCCCGCUGGCCUGUGACUGACGUUGAGGCUCGAAGGCGUGGGGAGCAAACAGGAUUAGAUACCCGAGUAGUC
rnacentral:rRNA from 1 species